GCAUCUGUGGUGUAGUGGUUAUCACGUGUGCCUCACACGCACAAGGUCCUCGGUUCGAUCCCGAGCAGAUGCA